rnacentral:lncRNA from 1 species
AUUUCAAAGAUUACACGGUCCUGUCGGCCAAGGCUAUAAGCUCGUUGAAUAAUCAGUGUAGCGCACGUGCGGCCCAUAACAUCUAAGGGCAUCACAGACCUGUUAUUGCCUCAAACAUCCGCGGCCUAAAAGGUUGUAGUCCCUCUAAGAAGCUGGCCGCGAAGGGAUACCUUCGCAUAGCUAGUUAGCAGGAUGAGGUCUCGUUCGUUAAUAGAAUUAACAUGACAAAUCGCUUCACCAACUAAGAACGGCCAUGCACCACCACCCGUAGAAUCAAGAAAGAGCUCUCAGUCUGUCAAUCCUUACUAUGUGUGGACCUGAUAAGUUUCCCCGUGUUGAGUCAAAUAAAGUCGCAGGCUCCACUCCUGGUGGUGCCCUUCCGUCAAUUCCUUUAAGUUUCAGCCUUGCGACCAUACUCCCCCCGGAACCCAAAAACUUUUAUUUCUCAUAAGGUGGCGGCAGAGUCCUAAAAGCAACAUCCAUCGAUCCCUGGUCGGCAUCGUUUAUGGUUGAAACUAGGAUGGUAUCUGAUCAUCUUUGAGCCCCCAAAUUUCAUUCUUGGUUAAUGAAAAUAUUCUUGGUAAAUGCUUUCACAGUUGUUCAUCUUUCAUAAAUCCAAGAAUUUCACCUCUGACUAUGAAAUACGAAUGCCCCUAACUGUCCUUGUUAAUCAUUACUCCGAUCCUGAAGGCCAACGUAAUAUGACCAAAAUCCUAUAAUUUUAUCCCAUGCUAAUGUAUACAAAGCGUAGUGUCAUGGACUUUUUGAUUCGGACAAUACUCCGUGCGGCACUUGACGGUACUCACGAGUCUUGCACGUUCUUGCAAACUCAAGUUAGCCUCUCACUCGGAUCACUAAGAAAAUAAGAAGUAGACAGAAUUUUGGAAGAAGGAACUUCUAUUACUUGCUGAAACUAUAGGAUUCUUUACAAGUAAAAUGAACUACUAUUUAUACUACUCUAAUGCCUAAGAGUUAGUAAAUGCUACACUAUACAAGUUCCUAAGUCUAUGCCUACAAGACAUGCUUCUAAGUCUUCCAAAAAGGACUCCUAGAUGCUCCUAGUCUGCCCUAACGCAUAGAGGCCUUGAACAAGCCUCUUCAAUGCUUGUAACUGCCGCCCCACUACCUGUUGUGACAGCUGUAACGGCUGUAACUGCCGUAACAGCUGAAACUGUUGUAACGGCUGCCUCUGCAACUGCUGCCUGCCCAUUGGCCUGCUAGCCGGCUUGGGCUGUCUGCCCACUUGCGCCUGCUGCUGGCUGCCAGGUUUGGUGGCGUUCUGCGUGGAUGGAUGGAGGGACGUCACAAUCUCCCCCACCCAUGAUUCGACGACCGCGAUGCAUUGCUGCAAGAACUCCUGAAUUUUGUCUUUGAAAUGCCACAAGUCUUCGUACUAUUCCCAAGUGGCUUCUUCAGGAUGUUGUCCCUUCCAAUGUACGAGAGACAUGGCACUGGCCUGCUGUCCUCGUUUCUGUUUGGCUUGGUAAUCUAUUAUAGCUUCAAUUUCUCGAUCAUGGGAGGCAGUAACGGUGAUAGGGGCCCGUUGUGAUUUGUUUUGGCUGGGAUCGUCCUUAUCGUCAUGAUAAGUCUUAAAAACGCUUGCAAGAAAGACCGGGUGGAUCCUUAAGUGUGGAGGUAACUCCAACUUGUAUGAAGUUUUACCCACCUUGGCAACAAUUUUGAAAGGACCCUCAUAUUUCUGCACCAAAUUGUGAUGUACGCCUCUAUGUGCCUUAAACUGCCUCAGAUUAAAAUUUACCAAAACCUGCCACCUUGCCCAAAAAAGAUUUAGCAAGGUCGAGUUGUUCUUCCCAACCCUUGGCAAGGUUGUAAGCGCCCAAACUCUUCCCUUCAAAACAGGUUGGCAGUAAGUGCGGAGUUUGGGGUUGCUGGCCUAUUGCUAACUCGAACGGUGUGCGCCCUGUAGAUUCACUCCUCUGCAAAUUGUAAGAAAAUUGCGCCAUGUCUAGGAGCUUAGCCCAAUCUUUCUGAUGUGCACUGACAUAGUGCCUAAGAUAGCAUUCGAACAAGGCGUUGACGCGUUCAGUUUGGCGAUCAGGUUAGGGGUGGAAACUGGUGGAGAAGUGAAGUUUUGAACCAAGAAUUUCAAAGAGUUCACUCCAAAAGUUCCCUGUGAAACGAGGAUCCCGAUGGCUAAUGAUGAACCUCGGCAGCCCCCAAUACUUCACAACAUUUUUGAAAAACAAUUGUGCAGCUUCCUUAGCAGUACAACCAGCUGUGGCAGGCAUGAAAGUAGCAUACUUGGAGAAUCUAUCCACUACGACCAUAACCGUGCCAAACCCGUUUGACUUCGUCAAAGAAGUGAUGAAAUCCAUAGAUAUACUCUCCCAUGGACGAUCCAGCUAUGGGUAAUUGCUCCAACAGCCCUCCUUGUUGCCUUUUCUCCACCUUGUCUUGCUGGCACACAAGAAAAGUCUGCACAUACUGCUCGAUUUCUUCCCGCAUUCAUGGCCAGAAAUAGAAGGCCUCCACUAAUGCCCUCGUUCUCUUCUGUCCAGGAUGCCCAGCCCACGGAGUGUUGUGGCUUUCUUUGAUAAUUCGCCGCCUGAUGAAUCCAAACUUUGGUACAUAAAUCCUCCGGCAUGUGGUAAUAAAGAAUCCGUCUUCUACCAAAAACCGUUUGGUUUGGCCUUGAUAAGCCAACUGCAUAAUCUUUUUUGGCUCCCGUAUCGCAUUGCAUACCAUCUUUGAUUGCACUUUCAAAUUCACUACGGACUGAGGAGAUGGCUGCUAAAUCAGUCUUCCUGCUCAAUGCAUCAGUUACCACAUUGCCCCUUCCUGGUUUGUACUCCAAGUUGUAGUCAAAUUUGGCCAAGAAUUCCUGCCAACGAGCCUGCUUUGCUGUGAUCUUCUUCUGUGAUUGAAAAUAGCUAGUGGCAACGUUGUCGGUUUUCACUACAAAUUUGGAGCCUAGUAGAUAGUGUCUCCAUGUACGUAGACAAUGCACAAUGACCAUCAUCUCCUUCUCCUGCACAGUGUACUGUCGUUCAGCUUCAUUCAGCUUCCGGCUUUCAAAAGCUAUGGGUGCUUCUCCUGCAUAAAGACUCCCCCAAUGGAAAAAUUAGAAGCAUCCGCAUGGAUCUCGAAGGUCUUGGUGAAGUCAGGCAGCAUCAAUACCGGUUCUUCAGUAACCGCAGCCUUUAGACCUUCAAAUGCUUCCUGGCACUCCUCGCUCCACAGCCAAAGCCUGUUCUUCUUCAGCAGCUCGGUCAGUGGGGAAGCUAUAGUGGAGUACCCGCUAAUGAACCUGCGAUAAUAAUUAGCAAGUCCAAGAAAAGAACGUAGCUCGGUCACUUUCGUCGGCGCUUCCCAAUCUUGGAUCGCCUUUACCUUUGCCUCAUCCAUACGAAGUUCACCUUGGCUGAUCACAUGGCCCAAGAAGUGUAUCUUUGGUUGGGCGAACUCGCACUUCUCCCACUUGACAUAAAGCUGAUUCUCCCGCAAGACUUUGAAGACCUUCUUCAAGUACUCCACAUGUUCCUGCAAUGUGCUACUAUAGACGACUAUUUCAUCUAAGUACACUACAACGAACUGGUCCAAGUAGGGACAUAAAAUCUCGUUCAUCAGAGUGCAAAAUAUUGUAGGUGCGUUGGUUAAGCCGAAGGGAAUCACUAACCAUUCAAAUUCUCCAUACCUGGUCACGCAUGCUGUCUUUGGCUCAUCCCCUCUGCAAUGCGCACUUGAUAGUAGACUUUCCGAAGAUCCAUCUUGGUGAAGUACUUGGCCUCUCCAAGACGAUCAAACAAAUCUGCGAUCAGCGGGAUUGGAUACUUCUUCCGAAUAGUGAUCUUGUUGAGAGCUCUGUGGUCAAUGCAUAGACGCAUCGAUCCAUCUUUCUUUUUCUGAAACAGCACCGACGCUCCAUAGGGUGCCUUGGAUGGACGAAUGUGACCUGCUUCGAGGAGCUUUUUCAACUGCUUCCUCAGUUCCUCUAACUCAGGCGAAGCCAUGUGAUAAGGUGCAAGCGCAGGUGGCUUGGCUCCCGCCUCAAACUCGAUCAUGUGGUCUACCUCACGCCUUGGAGGUAGAGUUUUUGGCAGCUCCUCCGGCAUCACAUCACUGUUUUCCUGCAAAACAGUUUCUAUGAUAGGUGGCAAUGGCUCCAUAGCACCAUGGUCUUCACCCGAACUUGCGAUGGUGACUAAGAAGGUUGGUGCUCCUUUCUUCAGGCCCUUCACAAUCUGCAUGGCCGACAAUUUGGCAUAUCCGUCUUUGUUCGGCACCCUAACAAGAGGCACCAUACAAGACCCUUCCCCUUCCAUCACCAUGAGUUGUUGAAGGUAGGGAUCAAUCAUCGUGUGGCAACACUGAAAGAAUUCCUGUCCAAGAAUAACAUUGGAUAUGUCCAAAGGAGCUACGGUAAAAUUCGUAUUACCUCUCCACCAUCCUAAAGUGAUGCUGACCCCAUGAGCAAUUCGACACACGAGAGUUGGUGGGGCGUUGACCGUCUUGAGGCGAUUGUUACUUGGAACAAUUUUCAGUCCUAAUUUCUCUGCCGCCGUCUUGGUCAUGAUAUUAGCUUCAUCCCCGGAAUCUACCAUGGCCCGAACUAGGUUCCCAUUGAUGGAGAUAUCCAUAUAUUGCGUACUGAAAUCCCUCGGGUGGAAGGCCUGUUUGGCUAUGGCUCCACAGAUUCCAACCAUGCCCAACUGAAGGGUGUCUGCCGAUUUCGCCUUGUCUUGUGCCUCCUUUUCCUUCUGCUCACGAACGAUGGCACUAAGGCUCUUCAUAUCUGGGCACCUGGCAUAACCGUGUGGUCCGCCGCAUAUAUAGCACCUGUCUCCAUUGCUGGAAUGCGUCCGCUUCUCCGAGUACUUCUGACGUUCAAACCGUCUGCCAUCGGGCUUGGGCGUGUCUCUACCUCGGCCACGGUCUCCCCCGCCUUUAGCUUGACUGCCCCUGCCUCCUUGCCCUUCGCCUUGUCCAAACGAUCAUGUUUGAAAUCUGUCAAGGUUUCGGCUUGAGUGAUGGCCUCAUCAAUGAUUUUUACUUGACGCCGCUCUAACUCGGUCCUCGCCCAAUUCUGCAGCCCGUCCAUGAAGGUGAACAACUAUCAUCUUCCGUGAGUUAGGGAAUUUUGAGGGUCAAGAUUGUGAACUCUUUCAUAUAUGCCCUAAUACUUCCCGUCUGCUUCAACUCCUGGAGUUUGCGUUUCAUUUCAUAAAUAGCAUUGUUGGGGAAGAAAGCUUUCUUGAAUUCCUCAAGGAAUUCUUGCAAUGUAUUGAUGGUGCGUGUGCUCCUCUUGAUCUCGGCAUCUUUGCGUUUCCACCACAACAUGGCUACAUCCAAAAGAUACAACACGGCAGUGUUGAUCUUGUUUGCAUCGCUCCUGACCCGAUUACACCUGAAAUAAUUUUCCAAGUGCCAUAGGAAAUUUCCUACCUCUAGGGCGUCGUGGACACACUUGAAUGUUGGUGGCUUGGGAACCUCGACUCUGGACUCCCUUUCCUGGCCAAGUGAUGUUGAUGCUCUGACCUCCCUCUCUUCUUCUAGAGCUUCUACCUUGUUCUUCAGCGUCUGGAUCGUCGUAAGGGCGUCCAAAAAUCUGAACUCCAAGGAAUUAAUGGUUUCCUUCAUCGCUAAUACAGACCGCUUGCGUACCUCCAACUCCUUCCGAAUGGCGUCAACUUGCUCAAGGGAGUGCUCUCCAGGUCUUUGACAUCACUGUCCAACCCAUUCAAGCGCUGGCCUAAAAUCUCAACAGCUAGCCUUGCCCUCUCGACGCUUGCAAGACAUUCAUGUCCAAAAGUGACGUCGAUGGUAUCUUCGUUGUCGUCGUCGUCACUUCCAUCGACAAUAUUAUACUAGAAAGAUGUUUGUCCAUCGCUUGGUGGAGGAACAUCUGGUGGUAGACCGCCUGAUGGAAGACCGCCUGGUGGAAGACAGCCUGGUGGAAGACUGCCUGAUGGAAGACCGCCUAGUGGAAGAUCAGUUGGUGGAGGAUCAGUGGGUGGAAGAUCGGGCAGAUUGCACAGAUUGGGUUCAUUUCCCUUCUGAUGCUUCUUCCCUUUCUUGUUCUUCUUUACUACCUGAACGUUAGGGGUGUUGCUAGCGCCGCUUCCGUCUCCUUCGUUCGCCAUUCUAUUACGAUGAACCUGCUCUGAUACCAAUUGUCACGGACUUUUUGAUUCGGACAAUACUCCGUGCGGCACUUGACGGUAUACUCACGAUUCUUGCACGUUCUUGCAAACUCAAGUUAGCCUCUCACUCGGAUCGCUAAGAAACUAAUAAGUAGACAGAAAUUUGGAAGAAGGAACUUCUAUUACUUGCUGAAAUUAUUGGAUGCUUACAAGUAAAAUGAACUACUAUUUAUACUACUCUAAUGCCUAAGAGUUAGUAAAUGCUACACUAUACAGGUUCCUAAGUCUAUGCCUACAAGACAUGCUUCUAACUCUUCCAAAAAUGACUCCUAGAUGCUCCUAGUAUGCCCUAACGCCUAGAGGCCUUGAACAAGCCUCUUCAAUGCUUGUAACUGCCGCCCCACUACUUGCUUUAACAGCUGUAACUGCCGUAACUGCUGAAACUGUUGUAAUGGCUGCCUCUCCAACUGCUGCCUGCCCCUUGGCCUACUGGCCGGCUUGGGCUGUCUCCCCCUUGCGCCUGCUGGUGGCUGCCAGGUUGGGUGGCGUUCUUCCUGGAUAGAUGGCGGGACGUCACAGUAGGCUUUCAUUGAGCACUCUAAUUCUUCAAAGUAACAGCGUCGGAGGCAUGACCCGACCACUAAAUGCCAUGAGCGCAUCACCCGACAGAAGGGACGAGAUGACCGGUGCACAUCUAGGGUGGACCGGUCGGCCCAUCCCAAAGUCCAACUACGAGCUUUUUAAUUUCAACAACUUAAAUAUAUGCUAUUGGAGCUGGAAUUAUCGCGACUGCUUGAACCAGACUUGCCCUCCAAUAGAUCCUCGUUAAGGGAUUUAGAUUGUACUCAUUCCAAUUACCAGACUCAUGGAACCCAGUAUUGUUAUUUAUUGUCACUACCUCCCCGUGUCAGGAAUGGUUAAUUUGUGCACCUGCUGCCUUCCUUGGAUGUGGUAGCCGUUUCACAGGCUCCCUUUCCAGAAUCGAACCCUAAUUCUCCGUCACCCGUCACCACCAUGGUAGGCCACUAUCCUACCAUCAAAAGUUCAUAGGGUAAAAAUUUGAAUGAUGCGUCGUCGGCACGAUGGCCGUGUGAUCCGUCGAGUUAUCAUGAAUCAUCGCAGCAACUGGCAGAGCCCGCGUCGACCUUUUAUCUAAUAAAUGCAUCCCUUCUAGAAGUCGGUGUUUGUUGCACGUAUUAGCUCUAGAAUUACUACGGUUAUCCGAGUAGUAGAUACCAUCAAACAAAGUAUAACUAAUUUAAUGAGCCAUUCGCAAUUUCACAGUCUGAAUUUGUUCAUACUUACACAUGCAUGGCUUAAUCUUUGAUGCAAGCAUAUGAUUACUGGUAGGAUCAACAAGGUAGCAUUCCUCAAAAAACGUCACGCGCCGCAUGAGACCGGCGUGCCCUUUCAGUCACGGUCGGGUCUAAGUAGAGCGCGAUGGUUAUUCACAAGGAGCAUUCGUUUUGGGCAGAUAGAAGCUGAUGAAGGCCCCAUGCCCACUAUAUCUACCGUAUCUGAGAAUUUGAGGCGCCGCUCACGGACCACGCCAUUGUACAACGAAGCGAGGGAAGGCGUGGGACGCGGAAGCGUCUUUUGGGUUCACCCCGCACUUGAGACUCGAAGGGAGAAAGGCGACCAUUUGCACGUGCACAAUGCCUAGGCAUUAGGUAUGCAGCAUAGGAUUCCGACAUCCAACAAUCCUAGAUUGUGCUUCAUCCACCACCGAAUUGGCAUGUGAGUUAAGACGUCACUUCUCGAAACAGGGAUCCAACCUACCAACAAAUUCCCAAUACCACUCAUGCACCAUAGCUGAAUAUCUCUGUCAAUGCACACUCGACAUUCACCCUGACGCCCGACAUGAGAUGUCAUGUGAAGACUCUGAUGCCUUCUUUGCAAGGCCAAUGCUACACCCGCCCUUGCACUCCUACCCAAGGGAGUUGAGAAUUUAAUCACUGCAAUGAUUGUUGGAGGAAGACCAAGGUUCACACAAGGGAACCGCCCACGACGUCGUUCGACCGUGUGCGCUGUCCAAAGGCGGUGAUAGCAUGCCAUGCCCGACGUCGUUUGACCGUGUUUGCCAUUCAAGGGCAAUGAUGGCAUUCUAUGCCCGAAGUCGUUCGACUGUCUGUGCUGCCCAAAGGCGAUGAUUGCAUGUCACGAUCGACGUCGUUCGACCGUGUGUGCUGUCAAAAGGCGGUGAUGUCAUGCCACGCCCGACGUCGUUCGACCAUGUGUGCUGCCCAAAGGCGAUGAUGGCAUGCCACGCCCAACGUCGUUCGACCGUGUUUUUCAUCCAAGGGCGAUGAUGGCAUGCCAAGCCCGAUGGCGUCCGACUUUGUGAGCUAGUCCAAAGGCGAUGAUGCCAUUCCACGCCCGACGUCGUUCGACCGUUUGUACUGCCCAAACGCGAUGAUGGCAUGCCACGCCCGACGUCGUUUGACCGUGUGUGCUGCCCAAAGGCGAUGAUGGCAUGCCACGCCUGACGUCGUUCGACCGUGUGUGCUGUCCAAAGGCGGUGAUGGCAUCUCACGCCCAACGUCGUUCGACCGUGUGUGCUGUCCAGAUGUGGUGAUGUCGUGCCACGCCUAAUGUCAUUUAACCGUGUGUGCUGCCCAAGAUGAUGGCAUGCCAACCACGACGUCGUUCGACCGUGUGUGCUUUCCAAAGGCAAUGAUGGCAUGUAAUGCCUGACGUCGUACGACCGUGUUUGUCGUCCAAGGGCUAUGAUGGCAUGCCAAGCUCGACGUCGUUCUACCGUGUGUUCUGCCCAAAGGCGAUGAUGGCAUGCCACGCCUGACGUCGUUCGAGCGUAUGUGCUGUCUAAAGGUGGUGAUGUCGUUCCAUGGUCGAUGCACUCCAACCGUGUGUGCUACCCAAGGGGGUGAUGUCAUGCCACGCCCAGCGUUGCUGACCGUGUGUGCUGUCCAAGGGCGGUGAUGUCAUGUCACGCCCGACGUUGCUGACCGUGUAUGUUGUCCAAGGGCAAUGAUGUGCUGCCACACCCGACGUCUUACCGUGCAUGCAGUCCAAACGGUGGUGUCAUGUCACGCCCGACGUCGUUCAACCUUGUGUGCUGUCCAAGGGAGGUGAUGUCAUACCACGCCUGACGUCGUCCGACCCUGCGUGUAGUCCAAGGGUGGUAAUGUCAUGCAACGCCUGACGUUGUCCGACCGUAUGUGCUGUCCAAGGGCGGUGAUGGCAUGCCACGUCUGACGUCGUUCGACCAUGUGUGCUAUCCAAGGGCGGUGAGGCAUGUCACGCCCGACGUCGUUCGACCAUUUGUGCUGUCCAAAGGCAGUGAUGUCAUGCCACGCCUGAUGUCGUUUCAGCGUGUGUGCUGCCUAAAGGCGAUGAUGGCAUGCCACGCCCGACGUCGUUCAACCGUGUGUGCUUUCCAAAGGCCAUGAUGGCAUGUCACGCCUUACGUCGUACGUUGAGAAAGAGAGUACAGAGUUAGAGAUAACAGAUAGAGAGUAGAGAGUUGAGAGAGUAGAAGAUGAAUAGAUGAUUUUGUGAUUUAAAAGAAUGAAAUUUAGGGGUAUUUAUAGGUAAAAAAAUGGGCUAAAGUGUAAUUUUUAAAACUUUAGGGUAUUAAAAAAGUUAGGGUGGGGUAGGUCUCCUAUUGGCUGAAAUUCUUAUGAAAUAUCGUUGGGGCCCCACUAGCCUAUACCCAAUGGCUGGUAACGGAUUUAUUUUUUAAAAAAAUUUUAUUUAACUGAACCGAUUAUUAUCGAAACCGAUAAAUUCCCGUAUUUACCAAUUUCUGUCCCGGUACCUGUACCGGAACAGAAAUUAACAGUGAUUAACGGUACUAACUGGUACUGAACCAGACCGGGACGGGCCGGAUUGGAAUCCGGUAAGUACCGGUUCCGCUGCCACGUAUAGACAGGAGUAGACAUUGAUUUUCUAGAGAAUCAUAAUGAAAAUGUACAACCCAAAUAUGCACGUUCUAAGGUACAAACACACAUCAGCUUUCACAAAUGACUUUAAUAUGUAUAAAAAAUAUUUUUCAACAUUUUUUUUUAAUUUUUUUGAAAAUUCCAAAAAAUUAGUAAUAAAUUAAUUAAAAUAGGGAAAAUAUCAAAAAAAAAUAUGAAAUAAACUCCGAAAAUUCACAAAUAAAUAUGAGAACCUUAAAAUAAAAAAUUAAAUAAAUUUUUAUUUUUAAAAGGAGAUGUAAAAAAUUAAAAAGCGUAAAAAUAAAUUUUAAAAUAAUGAUUAAAAGUCAGAAAAAUACGGAAAUGCUCGAAAACACUUCUAAACAUGUCAAAUUAAUGAUAAGAUAUAUAUUUGCACAAAUAAAAAAUAUUUCAAUAUCGUACGAACUAUAAAAGUAAUUAAAAUGAUGCGAAAGAGCCACGUUGGGCGGAAACAUUAGAGAAUACAUAAUUGAAAGUAGAUGAAUAUGUUUGUGAUGCAAAAAGGUUCUUUCAAAAUCCUUUGAUUUAUGUACGGCAUGAACAUCCGCAUGUUUCGUCUAGAACUCUUACAAUGUUGCCUAAGCCACGACUAAUGCGGGCAGGCCAUGGCCAACCGUUGUGUGCAGGCGCGUCCGACAACGGCCGACCGUUUAUGUUGUCCAAGGGCUAUGAUGGCAUGCCAUGCCCGACGUCGUCCGACCCUCUAUGCUGCCCAAGGGCGAAGAUGGGAUGCCACACCCGACGUCAUCCGACCGUGUCAUUUAUUCCAAAGGCGAUGAUGGCAUGCGACACCCGAUGUCAUCCGACCGUGUUAGCUAGUCCAAAGGCGACGAUGGCAUGCCACGCCCAACUUCGUCCGAUCAUGUGUGCUGCCCUAGGGCUAUGAUGGCAUGCCACGCCCGACAACGGCUACCUACUGUGCUGUCCAAAGGCGAUGAUGGCAUGCCACGCCCGACGUCGUCCGACCGUGUGUGCUGUCCAAGGGCAAUGAUGGCAUGCCAUGCCCGACGGCGGCCGACCAUCUGUGCUGUCAAGGGGUGAUGAUGGCAUGCCACGCCCAACACCGUCCGACCGUCUGUGCUGCCCAAAGGCGAUGAUGGCAUGCCACGCUUGGCGUCGUCCAACUAUGUGUGUUGUCCAAAGGCGUGAUGGCAUGCCACGCUCGAUGUCGUUCGACCGUGUUUGCUGUCUAAGGGAGAUGAUGCAUGCAUGCCACGCCCGACGCCGUCUAAUUGUGUCCGCUAGUCCAAAGGAGAUGAUAACAUGCCACUCCUGAUGUUUUUCGACUGUGUUUGCCAUCCAAGGGCUAUGAUAGCAUGCAACGCCCGAAGUUGUUCGAUCGUGUGUGCUGUCCAAGGUCCAUGAUGGCAUGCCACGCCCGACGUCGUUCGACCGUGUGUGCUAUCCAAAUGCCAUGAUGGCAUGUCACGCCCCAAAGGAGAUGAUGGCAUGCCACGCCCGAAACCGUCCAACUGUGUGAGCUAGUCCAAAGGCGAUGAGAAGAUGCUACGCCUGAUGUCGUUCGACCAUUUGUACUGCCCAAAGGCGAUGAUAGAAAGCCACGCCCGACGUCGUUCGAUCGUGUGUGAUACCUAAGGGCGGUGAUGUCAUGCCACGCCGAUGUCGUCCGACGGUGUGUGGUGUCUACGGUCGGUGAUGUCAUGCCACGCCCGACGUUGCCAACCGUGUGUGGUGUCCAAGGGUGGUGAUGUCAUGCCACACCCGACGUUGCCGACCGUGUGUGCUGUCUAAGGGCUGUGAUGGCAUGCCACGCCUGACAUCGUUCGACCGUGUGUGUUGUCCAAGGGUGGUGGUGUCAUGAAACGUCCGUCCAUGAGUGCAUUCCAAGAGCGGUGAUGUCAUACAAAACCUAACGUCGUCCGACCGUGUGUGCUGUCCAAGGGCGGUGAUGGCAUGCCACGCCCGACAUCAUCCGACCGUGUGUGCUGUCCAAGGGCGGUGAUAACAUGCCACUCCCGACGUCAUCCAACCGUCUGUGCUGCCCAAAGGCGAUGAUGGUAUGACACGCCCGACGUCGUCCAAUCGUUUGUGCUGUCCUAAGGCAGUGAUGGCAUCCCAUGCCUGACGUCGUUCGACCGUGUUUCCCGUCCAAGGCGAAGAGGGCAUGCCAUGCCGGACGCCGUCCAACUGUGUCAGCUAGUCCAAAGGAGAUAAUGGCAUGCCACACCCGACGUCGUUCGAACGUAUUUGCCGUCCAAGGGCUAUGAUUGCCUGCCACGCCAGACAUCGUUCGACCGUGUGUGCUGUCAAAGGGCCAUGAUAGCAUGCCACGCCCGACGUCACUCGACCGUGUUUGCCGUCCAAGGUCUACGAUGGCAUGCCACGCCGACGUUGUUCGACCGUGUGUGCUAUCCAAAGGUGGUGAUGUCAUGCCACGCCUGACGUCUUUUGACAGUGUGUGCUACCCAAAGGCGAUGAUGGCAUGCCAUGCCCGCGUCGUUCGACCGUAUUUGCCGUCCAAAGCGAUGAUGGCAUGCCACAUCCGACGCCGUCUGACCUUUUCUGCUACCCAACUAUGAUGAUGGCAUGCCACACCCGAUGUCGUUCGACCGUGCGUGCAGUCCAAAGGUGGUAAUGGCAUGUCACGCCCAAAGUCGUUCAACCCUGUGUGCUGUCCAAAGGCCAUGAUCAUACCAAGACCAACGUCUUUCGACCAUGUAUGCAUCCCAAAGGCGAUGCUGGCAUGCUUGAUGGCGUUCGACCGUGUGUGCUGCCCAAAGGUGAUUAUGGUAUGCAAUGCCCAACGUUGUCGACCGUUUGUGUUGUCCAAGUGUGGUGAUGUCAAGCCACGCCUGACAUCGUCCGACCAUGCGUACUGUCCAAAUGCGGUGAUCUCAUGCCACGCCCGAUGUCUUUCGACCGUGUGUGCUGCCCAAAGGCGAUGAUGGCAUGCCAGGCCCGACGUCAUUCGACCGUGUGUGCUGUCCAGAGGCAGUGAUGGGCGUGACGUCGUUCGAUCGUGUUUGCCGUCCAUGGGCUAUGAUGGCAUGCCAUGCCUGACGUCGUUCGACCGUUUAUGCUUCCCAAAGGCGAUGAUGGCAUGCCACGCCCGACAUCGUUCGAUCGUUUGUGCUGCCCAAAGACGAUGUUGGCAUGCCAAGCCCGACAUCGUUCGACCGUGUGUGCUGUCCGAAGGCGGUGAUGGCAUGUCACGCCCGACGUUGUUCGACCGUGUGUGUUGUCCAAAAGAGGUGAUGUCAUGCCACGCCUGACGUCUUUCGAUCGUGUGUGCUGUCCAAGGGGCAUGAUGGCAUGCCACGCUCGACGUCGUUCGACCGUGUGUGCUGCCCAAAGGUAAUGAUGGCAUGCAAUGCCUGACGUUGUUUGACCUUUUGUGCUCCUAAAGGCGAUGAUGGCAUGCCAUGCCCGACGUCUUUCGAUCGUAUGUGCUGCCCAAAGGCGAUGCUGGCAUGCCACACCCGACGUCGUUUGACCAUUUGUGCUGUCCAAAGGUAAUGAUUGCAUGCCAUGCCCGACAUCGUUCGACCUUUUGUGCUUCCCAAAGGCGAUGAUGGCAUGCCACGCCCGACAUCGCUCGAUCGUGUGUGCUGCCCAAAGGUGAUGAUGGCAUGCCAUGCCCGACGUCGUUCAAUCGUGUGUGCUGUCCAAGGGCCAGAUGGCAUGCCACACCCGAUGUCAUUCGACCGUGUAUGUUGUCCAAAGGCGGUGAUGGCAUGUCACACCUGGCGUCAUUCGACUAUGUUUGCCGUCCAUGGGCUAUGAUUGCAUGCCACGCCGAACGUCGUUUGACCGUUUGUGCUGCCCAAAGGCGAUGAUUGCAUGGCAUUCCCGACAUCAUUCGACCGUGUAUGCUGUCCAACGGCGGUGAUGUCAUGCCACGCCUGACGUCUUUCGACCGUGUGUGCUGCCCAAAGACAAUGCUGGCAUGCCAUGCCCGACGUCGUUCGACCGUAUGUGCUGCCCAAUGUUUAUGAUGGCAUGAUACACCCGACGUCGUUCUACCAGUUGUGCUGCCCAAAGGAGAUGAUGGCAUGCCACACCCGACGUCGUUCGACCGUGUGUGAUGCCCAAAGGUGAUGAUGGCAUGCCACGCCCGACGGCGUUCGACCGUGUGUGCUGUCCAACGGCGGUGAUGGCAUGUCAUGCCCGACGUCGUUCGACCGUGUGUGCUGUCCAAAGGCGGUGAUUAUAUGCCAGGCCCGACGUCUUUCAACCGUGUGUGUUGCCUAAAGGCGAUGAUAACAUGCCACGCCCGUUAUCGUUUGACCGUAUGUGCUGUCCAAAGGCGGUGAUGGCAUGUCACGCCAGAUGUCGUUCGACCGUAUUUGCCGUCCAUGGGCUAUGAUGGCAUUCCACGCCCGACGUCGUUCGACCGUGUGUGCUGCCCAAAGGCGAUGAUGGCAUGCCACGCCCGACGUCGUUCGACCGUGUGUGCUGUCCAAAGGCAGUGAUGUCAUGCCACAUCUGACGUAGUCCGACCGUGUGUGCUGCCCAAGCGCGGUGAUGUCAUGCCAUGCCAGAUGUCGUCCGACCUUGUGUGCUGUCCAAGGGCGGUGAUGUCAUUACACGCCCGACGUUGUCGACCCUGUGUGCUAUCCAAGGGCGGUGAUGUCAUGUAAUACCCAACGCCAUCCGACCGUGUGUGCGGUCCAAAGGCGAUGAUGUCAUGUCAUGCCCGACGUCGUUCAACCGUGUGUGCCGUCAAAGGCGGUGAUGUCAUUCCAUGCCAGAUGUCGUCCGACCUUGCGUGCAGUCCUAGGGCGGUGAUGUCAUGCCACGCCCGACGUCGUUCGACCGUUUGUGCUGCCAAAGGCGAUGAUGGCAUGCCACGGCCGACGUCGUUCGACCGUGAAUGCUGUCUAAAGGCGGUGAUGCAUGUCACGCCCGGCGUUGUUCGACCGUGUGUGCUGUCCAAAGGCGGUGAUGCCAUGCCACGCCUAACGUCGUUCGACCAUGUGUGCUACCCAAAGUUGAUGAUGGCAUGCCACGCCCGACGUCGUUCGACCGCGUGUGCUAUCCAAAGGCGGUGAUGUCAUGCCACGCCCGACGUAGUACGACCGUGUGUGCUGCCCAAGGGCGGUGAGGUCAUGCCAUGCCCGACGUUGUUUGACCAUGUGUGCUGUCCAAGGGCGGUGAUGUCAUGCCACGCCCAACGUCGUCCUACCGUGCGCGUAGUCCACGGGCGGUGAUGUCAUGCCAUGCACGACGUCGUUCGACUGUGUGUGUUGUCCAAGGGUGGUGAUGUCAUGCUACACCCGACGUCGUUUGACCGUGCGUGCAGUCCAAGGGCGGUGAUGUCAUGCCAUAUCCGACAUCGUCUGAACGUGUGUGAUGUCCAAGGGCGGAGAUGGCAUGCCAUGCCCGAUGUCGUCCGACUGUGUGUGCUGUCCAAGGGCGGUGAUGGAACGCCACGCCCGACGUCGUUCGACCGUUAAUGUCGUCCAAGGGCGUUUUUUGCAGUCCAGGCCCAUUCUACGCAGGCCUUGGCAGAUGCCGCUUGGCCGCGGACGUGCUGCAUACGCAGACCCAUUUGCCGUUUCACAUCUAACUUGGCUUUAAAAAUCGCUCCCGACCUCUCGAAAACCUUUUAUAGUGACAUGUCAUUAGUCCCUUAACAUGUCAUUAGGCUUGAUAAAUGAACUCACCAUCACGAAAACCUCGCAAUGGGGAUUAGUUAUAGGACAAGUGUUUGACCGUCGUAUAACGUCUAGCUCAACACUUAGCGGUAAACUAGUGAACUUCACGUGCCAUGUUACUUCCGAUACUUAUAUUUCAACACUUAGUUAUUUUUUCCCCUUCCAAGGAUGCAAGCAUCACGAGAACCUCUCAUUUGAAAAGUUAGAAAUGAUUGGAUUUGAUUUUGGGGGAGGGGGAGUGUGGGGGGAACUAAUAGGAGUGGCAAAGGGCUGAAUCUUAGUGGAUCGUGGCAGUAAGGCCACUCUGCCACUUACAAUACCCUGUCGCAUAUUUAAGUCGUCUGCAAAGGAUUCUACCCGCUGCUCCAUGGAAAUUGUACUUCAAGACGGUCACUGCGGCACUUAUGUUGCGACGACUUAGCCAACGACACGUGCUCUUGGGGCCAUAGGCCCCUACUGCGGGUCGGCAAGCGGACGGCGGGCGCAUGGAUCGCUUCUUGUCCGGAUUUUGAUUUAAAGGCAUUCAGUCAUAAUCCAGCACACGGUAGCUUCGCGCCACUGGCUUUUCAAAGGUAAAACUAACCCGUCUCAUGACGGUCUAAACCCAACUCACGUUCCCUAUUGGUGGGUGAACAAUAAAACAUUUGGUCAAUUAUGCUUCACAGUGACCAAAAGAGCCGACAUCGAAGGAUAAUAAAGCAACGUCGUUGUGAACCCUUGGCUGCCACAAGCCAAUUAUCCUGUGGUAACUUUUCUGAAAGCUCUAGCUUCGAAUUACAAAGGUCUAAAGGAUCGUAAGGCCACUCUUUCACGUUUAGUAUUCGUACUGGAAAUUAGAAUAUAACGAGCUUUUACCUUUCUCUUACACACGAGAUUUCUUUUCUCGUUGAGCUCAUCUUAGGACACCUGCGUUAUCUUUUAACAGAUGUGCCGCCCCAGCAAAACUCCCCACCUGACAAUGUCUCCUUCCCGGAUCGGCCCGCAAAGCGAGACUUGGGUCCAAAAAGAGGGGCAGUGCCCCGCUUCCGAUUCACGGAAUAAGUAAAAUAACAUUAAAAGUAGUGGUAUUUCACUUACGCCUUUUGGCUCCCACUUAUACUACACCUCUCAAGUCAUUUGAGAAUAGAUAAAAAAGUCGAUGAAUAUGUUUGUUAUGCAUGGGGGUUCUUUCAAAAUCCUUUGAUCCAUGUACGUCAUGAACAUCUGCAUGUUUCGUCUAGUUAUCGAACAUUGUUGCGCAAUCCACGAUCUAUGCGGGAUGUCCACGACCGAUCGUUGUGUGUAGGCACGUCCAACAGUGGCCGACCGUUUGUGCUGUCCAAGGGCUAUGACGGCAUGCCAUGCUCGACGACGGCCGACCGUCUGUGCUGUCCAAGGGCGAUUAUGGCAUGCCACGCCCGACGCCUUCCGACCGUCUGUGCUGCCCAAGGGCGAAGAUGGCAUGCCACGCCCGACGUCAUCCGACCGUGUCAGCUAGUCCAAAGGCGACGAUGGCAUGCGACGCCUGAUGUCGUCUGACUGUGUCUGCUAGUCCAAAGGCGAUGAUGGCAUGCCACGCCCAACGUCGUCCGACCGUAUCUAUUUUCCAAGGGCUAUGAUGGCAUGCCACGCUUGACAACGACCGAACCGCCGCGCCCUCCUACUCAUCGGGGUCUGGCACUUUCCCUGACGGCCGGGUGUAGAUCGCGCGCUUAAGCUCCAUCCAUUUUCGGGGAUAGUUGAUUCGGCAGGCGAGUUGUAACACACUCCUUAGCGGAUUUCGACUUCCAUGACCACCGUCCGGCUGUCUUAAUUGACCAACACCCUUUGUGGGAUCUAGGUUAGUGCUCAGUUUCGCACCAUAACCCGGCUUCCGAUUCAUCCUGCAUCGCCAGUUCGGCUUACCAAAAAUGGCGCACUUGGAUAUCUUGAUUUCGUGGCACGGCUCAACAAAGAAGUCGCAUCGCCUACCUAUUUGAAAUUUGAGAAUACGUCGAGGGCGUUGCGCCGCCGAGGCCUCUAAUCAUUGACUUUACCCGAUAGAACUCGCACGCGAGCAUCAGCUAUACUCAGGGAAACUUCGGAUGGAACCAGCUAUUAGACGAUUCGAUUAGUCUUUCGCCCCUAUACCCAAGUCAGACGAUCGAUUUGCACGUCACUAUCGCUGCGGACCUCCACUAGAGUUUCCUCUUGCUUCGCCCCGCUCAGGCAUAGUUCACCAUCUUUUGGGUCCCAACAGGUUUGCUCACAGUCGAACCCUUCUCAGAAGAUCAGGGUCGGUCGGCGGUGCACCCCUCAUGGGGAUCCCACCAAUCAGCUUCCUUACGCCUUACGGGUUUACUCGACCGUUGACUCACACACAUGUCAGAUUCCUCGGUCCGUGUUUCAAGACGGGUCGAAUGGGGAGCCCACAAGCCAGGGUCCGGAGUGUGCAGAUGCCGAAGCACGCCGGAGGCACGCGCUGCCUUCCACAAUCGGGGAUACGGUGUUCCAUGGUUGUAUCGAGAGCCCGGGCUUUGUCCUCCCCCCCAAACCACGUUGGUCCACGCCCCGAGUCGAUCGACGGACCGGCUCAUCACCGUUCCACAUCCGAUCGUGGCGCAUCGCCGGCCCCCAUCCUCUUCCCUCCCGAUAAUUUCAAGCACUCUUUGACUCUCUUUUCAAAUUCCUUUUCAUCUUUCCCUUGCAGUAGUUGUUCGCUAUCGGUCUCUCGCAAGUAUUUAGCCUUGGACAGAAUUCACCCCCCGAUUUAGGCUGCAUUCCAAAACAACGCAACUCGUAGACAUAGCCUCGUGGUGCGACAGGGUCCGGGCAUGACAGGGAUCUCACCCUGUUCGGCGCCCCCUUCCAGGGACUUGGGCCCGAUCCGCCAUUGAGGACACUUCUCCAAACAACAAUUCGGAUGACAGAGAUGCCCGAUUAUAAGGCUGGGUUGUUCCCGGUUUGCUCGCCGUUAUUAGGGUAAUCCUUGUAAGUUUCUUUUCCUUCGCUUAUUAAUAUGCUUAAACUCAGCGGCUAAUGUCGCCUGACCUGGGGAUGCGGUCGAAGCGCCUGGUGAGGGGCAGUGAGGGUAGGGGAGUCCGGACGCGCGACGUCUGUCGACGUGGACUCACAUUUAGGCCGGGCGCACGGGAGGCUAGCUUUCGCCCCCGCGCUAAGCCUUGCAACAUGCAGGGGAGUGCAACGCGAUGCAUGACGCCCAGGCAGACGUGCCCUCGGCUAAUUGGCUUCGUGUGCAACCUGCAUUCAAAGACUCGAUGGUUCAUGGGAUUCUGCAAUUCACACCAAGCAUCGCAUUUCGCUACCUUCUUCAUCAAUUUGAGAGUCGAGAUAUUCGUUGUCAAGUGUCGCUUGUGUUAUCAGCGCAGCGCGCAUCCCCCCAUGAUCCGUGAACAGGGCGCGAGGAGAGGGCUGUCAAUUGUUGUAUUCCUUGGCGCUUUCCGCUCCGGGGUUCGAUAGUCGCUCGAAGAUCUUGAGCGCGUUGGGCGACAGGAGGGAGGCGCGCAACGAGCGAGGGCCUCCCUCAGGUAUUUAAAAUGAGUUCGCAGGUCAUUCUGCUGUGCCGGUUUCGACAAUGAUCCUUCCGCAGGUUUAUCUAUGGAAACCUUGUUACGACUUCUCCUUCUUCUAAAUGAUAAGGUUCAAUAGACUUCUCACGACGUCGCAGGCAGCGAACUACCCAUGUCGCCGCAAUCCAAACAUUUCACCGGAUCAUUCAGUUGGUAGGAGCGACGGUCGGUGUGUACAAAGGGCAGGGACGUAGUCAACGCGAGCUGAUGACUCGCGCUUACUUGGAAUUCCUCAUUGAAGAUCAAUAAAUGCAAUGAUAUAUCCCUAUCACGAUGAAAUAUCAAAGAUUACUCGGGCCUGUCGGCCAAGGCUAUAAGCUCGUUGAAUAAUCAGUGUAGCGCACGUGCGGCCCAUAACAUCUAAGGGCAUAAUAGACCUGUUAUUGCCUCAAACAUCCGUGGCCUAAAAGGUCGUAGUCCCUCUAAGAAGCUGGCCGCGAAGGGAUACCUUCACAUAGCUAGUUAGCAGGAUGAGGUCUCAUUCGUUAAUGGAAUUAACCAGACAAAUCGCUUCACCAACUAAGAACGUCCAUGCACCACCACCCGUAGAAUCAAGAAAGAGCUCUCAUUCUGUCAGUCCUUACUAUGUGUGGACCAGGUAAGUUUCCCCAUGUAGUGUCAAAUAAAGUCGCAGGCUCCACUCCUGGUGGUGCCCUUUUGUCAAUUCCUUUAAGUUUCAGCCUUGCGACCAUACUCCCCCCGGAACCCAAAAACUUUAAUUUCUCAUAAGGUGGCGGCAGAGUCCUAAAAGCAACAUCCGUCGAUCCCUGGUCGGCAUCGUUUAUGGUUGAGACUAGGACGGUAUCUGAUCAUCUUCGAGCCCUCAAAUUUCGUUCUUGGUUAAUGAAAAUAUUCUUGGUAAAUGCUUUUGCAGUUGUUCAUCUUUCAUAAAUCCAAGAAUUUCACCUUUGAAUAUGAAAUACGAAUGCCCCUGACUGUCCUUGUUAAUCAUUAGUCUAAUCCUGAAGGCCAACGUAAUAUGACCAAAAUCCUAUAAUGUUAUCCCCUACUAAUGUAUACCGAGCAUAGUGUCAUGGACUUUUUGAUUCGGACAAUACUCCGUGCGGCACUUGACGGUUUACUCACGAUUCUUGCACGUUCUUGCAAACUCAAGUUAGUCUCUCACUCGGAUCGCUAAGAAAAUAAGAAGUAGACAGAAUUUUGGAAGAAGGAACUUCUAUUACUUGCACAAAUUAUUGGAUGCUUUACAAGUAAAAUGAACUACUAUUAUGCUUCUAAGUCUUCCAAAAAGGACUCCUAGAUGCUCCUAGUCCGCCCUAACUCCUAGAGGCCUUGAACAAGCCUAUUCAAUGCUUAUAAAUGCCGCCCCACUACCUGCUGUAACAGCUGUAACGGCUGUAACUGCCGUAACAGCUGAAACUGUUGUAACGGCUGCCUCUCAAACUGCUGCCUGCCCAUUGGCCUGCUGGCCCGCUUGGGCUGUCUGCCCCCUUGCGCCUGCUGCUGGCUGCCAGGUUGGGUGGCGUUCUACCUGGAUGGAUGGCAGGACGUCACAAUCUCCCCCACCCAAUGAUGCGACGACCGCGACGCAUUGCUGCAAGAACUCCUGAAUUUUUUCUUUGAACUGGCACAAGUCUUCGUACUUCUCCCAAGUGGCUUCUUCAGGAGUUUGUCCCUUCUAAUGUACGAGAAACAUGGCAUUGGCCUGUUGUCCUCAUUUCCGUUUGGCUUGGUAAUCUAUUAUAACUUCAAUUUCUCGAUCAUGCGAGGCAAUAACGGUGAUAGGGGCCCGUUGUGAUUUGUUCCGGCUGGGAUCGUCCUUAUCCUUAUGAUAAGGCUUAUGAAUGCUUGCAUGAAAGACCGGGUGGAUCCUUAAGUAUGGAGGUAACUCCAACUUGUAUGAAGUUUUAUCAACCUUGGCAACAAUUUUGAACGGAUCCUCAUAUUUCCGCACCAAGUUGUGAUGUAUGCCUCUAAGUUCCUUAAACUGCCUCGAAUUAAACUUUACCAAAACAUGCCGCCUUGCCCAAAUAAGAUUUGGCAAGGUCGAGUUGUUCUUCCCAACCCUUGGCAAGGUUGUAAGCACCCAAACUCUUCCCUUCAAAACAGGUUGGCAGUGAGUGCGGAGUUUGGGGUUGCUGGCCUGUUGCUAACUCGAACGGUGUGCGCCCUGUAGAUUCACUCCUCUGCAAAUUGUAAGAAAAUUGCGCCAUGUCUAGGAGCUUAGCCCAAUCUUUCUGAUGUGCACUGACAUAGUGCCUAAGAUAGUAUUCCAACAAGGCAUUGACGCAUUCAGUUUGGCCAUCAGUUUAGGGGUGGAAACUGGUGGAGAAGUGAAGUUUUGAACCAAGAAUUUCAAAGAGUUCACUCCAAAAGUUCCCUGUGAAAUAAGGAUCCCAAUCGCUAAUGAUGAACCUCGGCCGCCCCCAAUACUUCACAACAUUUUUGAAAAAUAAUUGUGCAGCUUCCUUAGAAGUACAACCGGCCGUGGCAGCCAUGAAAGUAGUAUACUUGGACAAUCUAUCCACUACGACCAUAAUCGUGCCAAACCCGUUUGACUUCGGCAAAGAAGAGAUGAAAUCCAUAGAUAUACUCUCCCAUGGACGAUCAGCUAUGGGUAAUGGCUCCAACGGCCCUCCUUGUUGCCUUUGCUCUACCUGUCUUGCUAGCACACAAGACAAGUCUGCACAUACUGCUCGAUCUCUUCCCGCAUUCGUGGCAAGAAAUAGAAGGCCUCCACUAAUGCCCUCGUUCUCUUCUGUCCUGGAUGCCCAGCCCACGGAGUGUCGUGGCUUUCUUUGAUAAUUCGCCGCCUGAUGAAUCCAAACUUUGGUACAUAAAUCCUCCGGCCAGUGGUAAGCAAGAAUCCGUCUUCUACCCAAAACCGUUUGGUUUGGCCUUGAGCAGCCAGCUGCAUAAUCUUCUUGGCUUCCGUAUCACGUUGCAUACCAUCUUUGAUAGCGCUUUUGAAUUCAAUACCGACUGAGGAGAUGGCCGCUAAAUCAGUCUUCUUGCUCAAUGCAUCGACUACCACAUUGCCCCUUCCUGGUUUGUACUCCAAGUUGUAGUCAAAUUCCGCCAAGAAUUCCUGCCAACGAGCCUGCUUUGGUGUGAUCUUCUUCUGUGAUUGAAAAUAGCUAGUGGAAACAUUGUCGGUUUUCACUACAAAUUUGGAGCCUAGUAGAUAGUGCCUCAAUGUACGUAGACAAUGCACAAUGGCCGUCAUCUCCUUCUCCUGCACAGUGUACCAUCGUUCAGCUUCAUUCAGCUUCCAGCUUUCAAAAGCUAUGGGGUGCUUCUCCUGCAUCAAGACUCCCCCAAUGGCAAAAUCAGAAGCAUCCAUAUGGAUCUCAAAGGUCUUGGUGAAGUCAGGCAACAUCAAUACCGGUGCUUCAGUAACCACAGCCUUAAGAACUUCAAAUGCUUCCUGGCACUCCUCGCUCCACAGCCAAAACCUGUUCUUCUUCAGCAGCUCGGUCAGUGGGGCAGCUAUAGCAGAGUACCCGCUAAUGAACCUGCGAUAAUACUUAUCAAGUCCAAGAAAAUAACGUAGCUCGGUCACUUUCAUAGGCGCUUCCCAAUCUUGGAUCGCCUUUACCUUUGCCUCAUCCAUACGAAGUUCACCUUGGCUGAUCACAUGGCCCAAGAAGUGUAUCUUUGGUUGGGCGAACUGGCACUUCUCCCGCUCGACAUAAAGCUGAUUCUCCCGCAAGACUUUGAAAACCUUCUUCAAGUGCUCCACAUGUUCCUGCAAAGUGCUACUAUAGACGACUAUGUCAUAUAAGUACACUACUACUAACUGGUCCAAGUAGGGACAUAAAAUCUCAUUCAUCAGUGUGCAAAAUAUGGCAGGUGCAUUGGUUUAGCCGAAGGGCAUCACCAACCAUUCGAAUGCUCCAUACCUUUUCACACAUGCUGUCUUUGGCUCAUCCCCCUCUGCAAUGCGCACUUGAUAGUAGCCUUUCCGGAGAUCCAUCUUGGUGAAGUACUUGGCCUCUCCAAGACAAUCAAACAAAUCAGCGAUCAGCGGGAUUUGAUACUUGUUCCGAAUUGUGAUCUUGUUGAGCGCCCUGUAGUCAAUGCAUAGACGCAUCGACCCAUCUUUCUUUUUCUGAAACAACACCGGCGCUCCAUAGGGUGCUUUGGAUGGAAGAAUGUGACCUGCUUCGAGGAGCUCUUUCAAUUGCUUCCUCAGUUCCUCUAACUCAGCCGGAGCCGUGCAAUAAGGUGCAAGCGCAUGUGGCUUGCCUCCCACCUCCAACUCGAUCAUGUGGUCUACCUCACGCCUUGGAGGUAGAGUUUUUGGCAGCUCCUCCGGCAUCACAUCACUGUUUUCCUGCAAAACUGUUUCUAUGAUAGGUGGCAAUGGCUCCAUAGCACCAUGGUCUUCACCCGAACUUGCGAUGGUGGCUAAGAAGGUUGGUGCUCCUUUCUUCAGUCCCUUCACAAUCUGCAUGGCCGACAAUUGGGCAUCUCCGUUUUUCUUCGGCACCCUAACAGGAGGCACCAUACAAGACCCUUCCCCUUCCAUCACCAUGAGUUUUUGAAGGUAGGGAUCAAUCAUCGUGUGGCAACACUGAAAGAAUUCCUGUCCAAGAAUAACAUCGGAUAUGUCCAAACGAGCUACGGUAAAAUUCGUAUUACCUCUCCACCGUCCUAAAGUGAUGCUGACCCCAUGAGUAAUUCAACACACGAGAGUUGGUGGGGCGUUGACCGUCUUGAGGCGAUUGUUACUUGGAACAAUUUUCAGUCCCAAUUUCUCUGCCGCCGUCUUGGUCAUGAUGUUGGCUUCAGCCCCAGAAUCUACCCUGGCUCAAACUAGUUGCCCGUUGAUGGAGAUAUCCACAUAUUGCAUACUGAAAUCCCUCGGGUUGUCGGCCUGUUUGGCUAUGGCUCCACAGAUUCCAACCAUGCCCAACUGAGUGGUGUCUGCCGAUUUCGCCUUGUCUUGUGCCUCCUUUUCCUUCCACUCACGGAGGAUGGCACUAAGUCUCUUCAUCUCUGGGCACCUGGCAUAACCGUGUGGUCCGCCAUAUAUAUAGCCCCGUCUCCUUUGCUGGACUGCGUCCUCUUCUCCGAGUACUUCUUAUGUUCAAACCGUCUGCUAUCGGGUUUGGGCGUGUCUUGCUGCUUGGGAUGUGCCGACUGUUCUCUGCCUCGACCACGGUCUCCCCCGCCUUUAGCUUGACUACCCCUUGCCUCCUUGUCCUUCGCCUUGUCCAAACGAUCAUGUUUGAAAUCUGUCAAGGUUUCGGUUUGAGUGAUGGCCUCAUCAAUGGUUCUUACUUGUCGCCGCUCUAACUCGGUCCUCCCCCAAUUUUGCAGCCCGUCCAUGAAGGUGAACAGCAUGUCAUCUUCCGUGAGUUGGGGAAUUUGGAGGGUAAAGAUUGUGAACUCUUUCACAUAUGCCCUAAUAAUUCCCGUUAGCUUCAACUCCCGUAGUUUGCGUUUCAUUUCAUAAACAACAUUGUUGGGGAAGAAAGCUUUCUUGAAUUCCUCAAGGAAUUGUUCCCAUGUGUUGAUGGUGCGUGUGCCCCUCUUGAUCUCGGCAUCUUUUCAUUUCCACCACAACAUGGAUACAUCUAAAAGAUACAACACGGCAGUGUUGAUCUUGUUUGCAUCGCUCCUGACCCGAUUACACCUGAAAUAAUUUUCCAUGUGCCAUAGGAAAUUUCCUACCUCUAGGGCGUCGCAGACACCCUUGAAUGUUGGUGGCUUGGGAACCUCGACUCUGGACUCCCUUUCCUGGCCAAGUGAUGUUAAUGGUUCAACCUCCCUCUCUUCUUUGAGAGCUUCUACCUUGUUCUUCAGCAUCUGGAUCGUCGUAAGGGCGUCCAAAAAUCUGAAAUCCAAGGAAGUAAUGGUUUCCUUCAUCGCUAAUUCAGACCGCUUGCGUACCUCCAACUCCUUCCGAAUGGCGUCAACUUCAUCAAGGGAGUGCUCUUCAAGGUCUUUGACAUCACUGUCAAACCCAUUCAAGCGCUGGCCUAAAAUCUCAACAGCUAGCCUUGCCCUCUUGACGCUUGCAAGCCAUUCAUGUCCAACAGUGACAUCGAUGGUAUCUUCGCUGUCGUCGUCGUCACUUCCAUCGACAAUAUUAUGCUGGAAAGAUGUUUGUCCAUCGCUUGGUGGAGGAACAUCUGGUGGUAGACCGCCUGAUGGAAGACCGCUUGGUGGAAGACCGCUUGGUGGAAGACUGCCUCAUGGAAGACCGCCUGGUGGAAGAUCAGUUGGUGGAGGAUUAGUGGGUGGAAGAUCGGGCAGAUUGGGCACAUUGGGUUUAUUUUCCUUCUGCUGCUUCUUCCCUUUCUUGUUCUUCUUUACUACCUGAACGUUGGGGGUGUUGCUAGCGCCGCUUCCGUUUCCUUCGUUCGUCAUUCUCUUACAAUGAACCUUCUCUGAUACCAAUUGUCACGGACUUUUUGAUUCAGACAAUACUCCGUGCGGCACUUGACAGUUUACUCACGAUUCUUGCACGUUCUUGCAAACUCAAGUUAGCCUCUCACUCGGAUCUCUAAGAAAAUAAGAAGUAGACAGAAUUUUGGAAGAAGGAACUUCUAUUACUUGCUGAAAUUAUUGGAUGCUUUACAAGUAAAAUGAACUACUACUUAUACUACUCUAAUGCCUAAGAGUUAGUAAAUGCUACACUAUACAAGUUCCUAAGUCUAUGCCUACAAGACAUGCUUCUAACUCUUCCAAAAAGAACUCCUAGAUGCUCCUAGUCUGCCCUAACGCCUAGAGGCCUUGAACAAGCCUCUUCAAUGCUUGUAACUGCCACCCCACUACCUGCUGUAACAGCUGUAACGGCUGUAACUGCCGUAACAGCUGAAACUGUUGUAACGGCUGCCUCUCCAACUGCUGCCUGCCACUUGGACUGCUGGCCGUCUUGGGGUGUCUGCCCCCUUGCACCUGUUGCUGGCUUCCAGGUUGGGUGGCGUUCUGCCUGGAUGGAUGGUGGGACGCACAGUAGGCUUUCUUUGAGCACUCUAAUUCUUCAAAGUAACAGCGUCAGAGGCAUGACCCGGCCAUUAAACGCCAUGAGCGCAUCGCUCGACAGAAGGGACGAGACGACCGUUGCACAUCUAGGGCGGACCGGCCGGCCCAUCCCAAUGUCCAACUACGAGCUUUUUAAUUGCAACAACUUAAAUAUACGCUAUUGGAGCUGGAAUUACCGCGACUGCUUGCACCAUACUUGCCCUCCAAUGGAUCCUCGUUAAUGGAUUUAGAUUGUACUCAUUCCAAUUACCAGACUCAUGGAGCCCAGUAUUGUUAUUUAUUGUCACUACCUCUCCGUGUCAGGAUUGGUUAAUUUGCGCACCUGCUGCCUUCCUUGGAUGUGGUAGCCGUUUCACAGGCUCCCUCUCUGAAAUCGAACCCUAAUUCUCCGUCACCCGUCACCAAUCAUGGUAGGCCACUAUCCUACCAUCAAAAGUUCAUAGGGCAGAAAUUUGAAUGAUGUGUCGCCAGCACGAUGGCCGUGCGAUCCGUCGAGUUAUCAUGAAUCAUCACAGCAACUGGCAGAGCCCGCGUCGACCUUUUAUCUAAUAAAUGCAUCCCUUCCAGAAUUUGGGGUUUGUUGCACGUAUUAGCUCUUGAAUUACUACGGUUAUCUGAGUAGCAGAUACCAUCAAACAAAGUAUAACUGAUUUAAUGAGCCAUUCGCAGUUUCACAGUCUGAAUUUGUUCAUACUUACACAUGCAUGGCUUAAUCUUUGAUACAAGCAUAUGACUACUGGCAGGAUAAACCAGGUAGCAUUCCUCAAAAACGUCACGCGCCGCAUGAGACCGGCGUGCCCUUUCAGUCACGGUCAGGUCUAAGGAGAGCACGAUAGUUAUUUGCAAGGAGCAUUCGUUUUGGGCAGAUAGAAGCCGAUGAAGGCCCCAUGCCCACUAUAUCUACCGUAUUUGAGAAUUCGAGGCACCGCUCACGGACCACGCCAUUGUACAACGAAGCGAGGGAAGGCGUGGGACGCGAAAGCGUCUUUUGGGUUCACCCCGCACAUGAGACUCGAAGGGAGAAAGGCGACCAUUUGCACGUGCACAAUGCCUGGGCAUUAGGUAUGCAACACAGGAUUCCGACGUCCGACCAUCCUAGAUUGUGCUUCAUCUGCCACCGAAUUGGCAUGUGAGAUAAGACGUCGCUUCUCGAAACAGGGAUCCAACCUACCAAUAAAUGCCCAAUACCACUCAUGCGCCAUAGUUGAAUAGCUCUGUCAAUGCACGCUCGACAUCCACCCCGACGCCCGACAUGAGAUGUCAUGCGAAGACCCAAAUGCCUUCUUUACAAGGCCAAUGCUACACCUGCCAUUGAACUCUUGCCCAAGGGAGUUGAGAAUUUAAUCACUGCAGAGAUUGUUUGAGGAAGACCAAGGUUCACACAAAGGAACCGCCCACGACGUCGUUCGACCGUGUGAGAUGUCCAAAGGCGGUGAUAACAUGCCACGCCCGACAUCGUUUGACCGUGUUUGCCAUUCAAGGGCUAUGAUGGCAUUCCACGCACGAAGUCGUUCGACCAUCUAUGCUGCCCAAAGGCGAUGAUGACAUGCCACGCUCGACGUUGUUCGACCGUGUGUGCUGUCAAAAGGUGGUGAUGUCAUGCCAUGCCCGACGUCGUUCGACCUUGUGUGCUGCCCAACGGGGAUGAUGGCAUGCCACGCCCGACGUCGUUCGACCGUGUUUUCCGUCCAAGGGCGAUGAUGGCAUACCAAGCCCGAUGCCGUCCUACUUUGUGAGCUAGUCUAAAGGUGAUGAUGGCAUGCCACACCCAACGUCAUUCGACCGUUUGGGCUGCCCAAAGGCGAUGAUGUCAUGCCACGCCUGACGUCGUUCGACUGUGUGUGCUGCCUUAAGGCGAUGAUGGCAUGCCACGCCCGACGUCGUUCGACCGUGUGUGCUGUCCAAAGGCGGUGAUGGCAUCUCACGCCCGACAUUGUUCGACCGUGUGUGCUGUCCAGAAUUGGUGAUGUCAUGCCAUGCCUGACGUCGUUUUACCGUGUGUGCUGCCCAAAGGUUAUGAUGGCAUUCCAAGCCCGACAUCGUUCGACCGUGUGUGCUUUCCAAAGGCGGUGAUGGCAUGUCAUGCCUGAUGUCAUAAGACUGUGUUUGUCGUCUAAGGGCUAUGAUGGCAUGCCACGCCCGACGUCGUUCUACCGUGUAUUCUGCCCAAAGGCGAUGAUGGCAUGCCACGCCUGACGUCAUUCGAGCGUGUGCGCUGUCCAAAGGUGGUGAUGUCAUGCCAUGGUCGACGCACUCCAACCGUGUGUGGUGCCCAAGGGCGGUGAUGUCAUGCCACGCCCGGCGUUGCUGACCGUGUGUGCUGUCCAAGGGCGGUGAUGUCAUGUCACGCCCGACGUUGUUGACCGUGUGUGUUGUCCAAGGGCGGUGAUGUGCUGCCACACCCGACGUCGUCUGACCGUGCAUGCAGUCCAAGCGGUGGUGUGAUGCCACGCCCGACGUCGUUCAACCUUAUGUGCUAUCCAAGGGCGGUGAUGUCAUGCCACGCCCGACAUCGUCCGACCCUGCCUGUAGUCCAAGGGUGGUAAUGUCAUGCAACGCCUGACGUUGUCCGACCGUAUGUGCUGUCCAAGGGCGGUGAUGGCAUGCCACGCCCGACGUCGUCCGACCAUGUGUGCUAUCCAAGGGCGGUGAGGCAUGUCACGCUCGACGUCGCUCGACCGUUUGUGCUGUCCAAAGGCAGUGAUGUCAUGUCACGCCUGAUGUCAUUCCACCGUGUGUGCUGCCCAAAGGCGAUGAUGGCAUGCCACGCCCGACGUCGUUCAACCGUGUGUGCUUUCCAAAGGCCGUGAUGGCAUGUCACGCCUAACGUCGUACGUUGAGAAAGAGAGUACAGAGUUAGAGAUUAGAGAUAGAGAGUAAAGAGUUGAGAGAGUAGAAGAUGAAUAGAUAAUUUUUUGAUUUAAAAGAAUGAAAUUUAGGGGUAUUUAUAGGUUAAAAAAAUGGGUUAAAGUGUAAUUUUUAAAACUUACGAGAUUAAAAAAGUUAGGGUGGGGUAGGGCUCCUAUUGGCUGAAAUUCUACUCAAAUAUUGUUUGGGGCCCCACUAGCCUAUACCCAGCGGCUGGUAACAGAUUUAUUUUUAAAAAAAAAAAUUUAACCGAACCAGUCUGGUUACUAUUGAAACCGAUAAAUUCUGGUAUUUAUCUAUUUCCGUCCCGGUACCUGUAACGGAACCAGAAAUUAACGGUGAUUAACGGUACUAACUGGUACUGAACCAGACCGGGACGGACCGGAUAGGAAUCCGGUAAGUACCGGUUCCGCUGCCACGCAUAGACAGGAGUAGACAUUGAUUUGCUAGAGAAUCAUAAUGAAAAUGUACAACCCAAAUAUGCACGUUCUAUGGUACAAACACACAUCAGCUUUCUCAAAUGACUUUAAUAUGUAUAAAAAAUAUUUUUUAACAUUUUUUUUUUGAAAAUUCAAAAAAAUUAGUAAUAAAUUAAUAAAAAUAGGGAAAAUAUCGAAAAAAAAUAUGAAAUCAACUCCGAAAAUUCACAAAUAAAUAUGAGAACCUUAAAAUAAAAAAUUUAAUAAAUUUUAAUUUUUAAAAGGAGAUGUAAAAAAUUAAAAAGCCUAAAAAUAAAUUAAAAAUAAUGAUUAAAAGUUAGAAAAAUACGGAAAUGCUCGAAAACACUUUUAAACAUGUCAAAUUAAUGAUAAGAUAUAUAUUUGCACAAAUAAAAAAGUAUUUCAAUAUCGUAUGAACUAUAAAAGUAAUGAAAAUGAUGUGAAAGAGCCCCGUUAGGAAGAAACAUUAAAGAAUAGAUAAUUGAAAGUAGAUGAAUAUGUUUGUGAUGGCAUGCCACGCCCGACGACCAUGGUCUCCCCCGCCUUUAGCUUGACUACCCCGUGCCUCCUUGCCCUUCGCCUUGUCCAAACGAUCAUGUUUGAAAUCUGUCAAGGUCUCGGCUUGAGUGAUGGCCUCAUCGAUGGUUUUUACUUGACUCCGCUCUAACUCGGUCCUCGCCCAAUUCUGCAGCUCAUCCAUGAAGGUGAACAGCAUGUCAUCUUCCGUUAGUUGGGGAAUUUGGAGGGUCAAGAUUGUGAACUCCUUCACAUAUGCCCUAAUGCUUCCCGUCUGCUUCAACUCCCAGAGUUUGCGCUUCAUCUCAUAAACAGCAUUGUUGGGGAAGAAAGCUUUCUUGAAUUCCUCAAGGAAUUGUUCCCAUGUGUUGAUGGUGCUUGUGCCUCUCUCAAUCACAGCAUGUCUGCGUUUCCACCAUAACAUGGCUACGUCGGAAAGAUACAACACGUCAGUGUUGAUCUUGCAUGCAUCGCUCCUGACCCGAUUACACCUGAAAUAAUUUUCCAAGUGCCAUAAGAAAUUGCCUACCUCUAGGGCGUCUCGGACACCCUUAAAUGUUGGUGGCUUGGGAACCUCGACUAUGGACUCCCUUUCUUGGCCAAGUAAUGUUGAUGCUCCAACCUCCCUCUCUUCUUCGAGGGCUUCUACCUUGUUCUUCAGCGUCUGGAUCGUCAUAGUAGCGUCCAACAACCUGAACUCCAAGGAAGUAAUAAAUUCCUUCAACUCUAAUUUCGUCCGCUUGCGUAGAUCCAACUCCUUCCGGAUGGCGUUAACUUCCUCAAGGGAAUUUUCUUCAAGGUCUUUAACAUCACAGUCCAACCCAUUCAAGCGCUGCCCCAAAAUCUCAACAGCAAGCCUUGCCCUCUCAACGUUGGCAAUCUAUUCAUGUCCAACAGUGACGUCUAUAACGUCUUUGCUGACGUCGUCUUCACUUUCCUCAUCUAUAUUCUGCUGGAAAGAUGUUUGUCUGUCGCCUGGUGGAGGAUCAUUUGGUGGCAGAUCGCUUGAUGGUAGACUGCCUGAUGGCAGACCGCAUGGUGGAAGACUGCCUGAUGGCAGACCACCUGGUGGAAGACUGCCUGUUGGCAGGCCGCUUGGUGGAAGACUUCUUGGUGGCAGGUCGCCUGGUGGAGGAUUGGGCAGACUGGGUUCGUUGCCCUUCUUAUUCUUUCCCUUCUUUUUCUUCUUUCCUCCCUGAACGUUGGGGGUGGUGCUAACGCCACUACCGUCUCCUUCGUUCGUCAUUCUCUUACGAUGAACCUGCUUUGAUACCAAACUGUCACGAACUUUUUGAUUCGGACAAUGUUCCGUGCGGAACUUGACGGUUUACUCACGACUCUUGCACGUUCUUGCAAACUCAAGUAAGCCUAGAACUCGGAUCGCUAAGAAAAUAAGAAGCAAGACAGAACUUUGGAAGAAGGAACUUCUAUUACUUGAAAAAUGAUUGGAUGCUUUACAAGUAAAAUGAACUACUAUUUAUACUACUCUAAUGCUGCCUAAGAGUAAGUAAAUAAACUAUACAAAUUCCUAAGUCUAUUCCUACAAGACAAGCUUCUAAGUCUUCCAAAAGGACUCCUAGAUGCUCCUAGUCUGCCCCAUGAUCUGCACAAGCCUCUCAAAGGCCUGAAACUCCUGAAACUGCUGCCCCACUAACAAGUGUAACAGCUGUAACGGCUGUAACUGCCGUAACAGCUGAAACUGUUGUAACGGCUGUCUCUUCACCUGCUGCUGGCCCCUUGGCUGCUGGCCUGCAUGGUCAGCCUGCCCCGUUGCGCCUGCUGGCUGCCUAGUUGGGUGGCGUUCAGCCUGAAUGGAUGGCGGGAUGUCACAAUGGGCUAUGAUGGCAUGCCACGCCCGACGUCGUUCGACCGUGUGUCUUGCCCAAUGGCAAAGAUGGCAUGCCACGCCCGACGUCGUUCGACCGUGUGUGCUGUCCAAAGGAGGUGAUGUCAUGCCACGCCCGAUAUAGUCCAACCGUGUGUGCUGCCCAAGGGCGGUGAUGUCAUGCCAUACCGGAUGUCGUCCGACCGUGUGUGCAGUUCAAGGGAGGUGAUGUCAUGCCAUGUUCGAUGUUGUCAACCGUGUGUGCUGUCCAAGGGCGGUGAUGUCAUGUAAUGCCCGACGCCGUCCGAUUGUGCGUGUGGUCCAAGGGCAAUGAUGUCAUGCCAUGCCUGACGUCGUUCAACCAUGUGUGCCAUCCAAGGGCGGUGAUGUCAUUCCACGCCAGAUGUCGUCCGACCGUGUGUGGAGUCUUAGGGCGGUGAUGUCAUGCCACGCCCGACAUCAUCCGACCGUGUGUGUUGUUUAAGGGAGGUGAUAGCAUGCCACUCCUGAUGUUGUCCGACCGUCUGUGCUGCCCAAAGGCGAUGAUGGCACGACACGCCUGAGGUCGUCCGACCGUGUGUGCUAUCCUAAGGAAGUGAUGGCAUGCCACGCCCGACGUCGUUCGAUCGUGUUUCCCAUCCAAGAGCGAUGAGCGCAUGCCACGCCGGACGCCGUCUAACUGUGUCAGCUAGUCCAAAGGCGAUGAUGGCAUGCCAUGCCCGACGUCAUUCAAACGUAUUUUCCGUCCAAGGACUAUGAUGGCAUGCCACGCCGAACGUCGUUCGACCGUAUGUGCUGUCCAAGGGCCAUGAUUGCAUGCGACGCCCGACGUCGUUUGACCGUGUUUGCCGUCCAAGGGCUAUGACGGCAUGCCACGUUGAUGUUUUUCGACCGUGUGUGCUGCCCAAAGGCAAUGAUGGCAUGCCACACCCGACGUCGUUUAAUCGUGUGUGCUGUCCAAAGGCGGUGAUGUCAUGCCACGCCUGACUUCGUUCGACCAUGUGUGCUACCGAAAGGCGAUGAUUGCAUGCCACGCCAGACGUCGUUCGAUCGUAUUUGCCGUCCAAAGCGAUGAAGGCAUGCCACGUCCGACGCUUUCCGACCGUUUCUGCCACCCUACUAUGAUGAUGGCAUGCCGCGCCCGAUGUCAUUUGACCGUGCGUCCAGUCCAAAGGCGGUGAUGGCAUGUCACGCCCGAAGUCAUUCGACCGUGUGUGCUGUCCAAAGGCGAUGAUGUCAUGCCAAGUCCAACAUCUUUCGACCGUGUGUGCAUCCCAAAGGCGAUGCUGGCAUGCCUGACGUCGUUCGACCGUGUGUUCUGCCCAAAGGUGAUUAUGGUAUGCAACGCCCGAUGUUGUCGACCGUGUGUGUUGUCCAAGUGCGGUGAUGUCAUGCCAUGCCUGACAUCGUCCGACCGUGCGUGCUGUCAAAAUGCGGUGAUGUCAUGCCACGCCCGAUGUCUUUCGACCGAUUGUGCUGCCCAAAGACGAUGAUGGCAUGCCACGCCCGACGUCGUUCGACCGUGUGUGCUGUCCAAAGGCGGUGAUGGCAUGUCACACCUGACGUCGUUUGAUCGUGUUUGCCGUCCAUGGGCUAUGAUGGCAUGCCAUGCCCGACAUGGUUCGACCGUUUAUGCUGCCCAAAGGCGAUGAUGGCAUGCCACGCUCGACGUCGUUCGACCGUGUGUGCUGCCCCAAGACGAUGUUGGAAUGCCACGCCCGACGUCGUUCAACCGUGUGUGCUGUCCAAAGGCGGUGAUGGAAUGUCAUGCCCGACGUCUUUCGACCGUGUGUGCAGUCCAAAGGCGGUGAUGUCAUGCCACGCCUGAUGUCAUUCAAUCGUGUGUGCUGUCCAAGGGCCAUGAUGGCAUGCCGCGCUCGACGUCGUUCGACCGUGUGUGCUGUCCAAAAGUAAUGAUGGCAUGCCACGCCCGACGUUGUUCGACCUUUUGUGCUCCCAUAGGCGAUGAUAGCAUGCCAUGCCCGACGUCUUUCGAUCGUGUAUGCUGCCCAAAGGCGAUGGUGGCAUGCCACGCCAGACGUCGUUUGACCGUUAGUGCUGCUCAAAGGUAAUGAUGGCAUGCCACGCCCCACAUCGUUUGACCGUGUGUGCUGCCCAAAGGUGAUGAUGGCAUGCCACGACCGACAUCGUUCGAACGUGUGUGCUGUCCACGGGCCAUGAUGGCAUGUCACGCCCGAUGUCAUUCGACCGUGUGUAUUGUCCAAAGGCGGUGAUGGCAUGCCACACCCGACGUCGUUCGACCGUGUGUGAUGCCCAAAGGUGAUGAUGGCAUGCCACGCUCGACGUCGUUCUACCGUGUGUGCUAUCCAAAGGUAGUGGUGGCAUGUCAUUCCCGACGUUGUUUGACCGUGUGUUUUGUCCAAAGGCGGUGAUUAUAUGCCAGGCUCGAUGUCUUUCGACCGUGUGUGUUGCCUAAAGGCGAUGAUGGCAUGCCACGCGUGACAUCGUUCGGCCGUAUGUGCUGUCCAAAGGCGGUGAUGGCAUGUCACGCCAGACGUCGUUCGACCGUGUUUGUCGUCAAUGGGCUAUGAUGGCAUGCCAAGCCCGACAUCGUUCGACCGUGUGUACUGCCCAAAGGCAAUGAUGGGAUGCCACGCCCAACGUCGUUCGACCAUGUGUGCUGUCCAAAGGCGGUGAUGUCAUGCCACGCCCGACGUAGUUCGACCGUGUCUGCUGCCCAAGGGCGGUGAUGUCAUGCCAUGCCGGAUGUCGUCCGACCGUGUGUGCUGUCCAAAGGCGGUGAUGUCAUACCAUGCCCAACGUUGUCGAUCAUGUGUGCUGUCCAAGGGCGGUGAUGUCAUGUAAUGCCCGACGCUGUUCGAUUGUUCAUGCGGUCUAACGGCGAUGAUGUCAUGCCAUGCCCGACGUCUUUCGAUCGUGUGUGCUGUCCAAGGGCCAUGAUGGCAUGCCACUCCCGAUGUUGUUUGACUGUGUGUGUUGUCCAAAGGCGGUGAUGGCAUGUCAUGCCCGAUGUCGUUCGACUGUGUUUGCUGUCCAAAGGCGGUGAUUUCAUGCCAGGCCCGAUGUCUUUUGACCGUGUGUGUUGCCUAAAGGCGAUGAUGGCAUGCCACGCCUGACAUCGUUCGACCGUAUGUGCUGUCUAAAGGCGGUGAUGGCAUGUCACGCCAGACGUCGUUCGACCGUGUUUGUCAUCUAUGGGCUAUGAUGGCAUGCCACGCCCGACGUCCAUCGACUGUGUGUGCUGCCCAAAGGCGAUGAUGGCAUGACAUGCCCGACGUCGUUCGACCAUGCGUGAUGUCCAAAGGCGGUGAUGUCAUGCCACGCCCGACAUAGUUCGACCGUGUGUGCUGCCCAAGGGCGAUGAUGUCAUGCCAUGCCAGAUGUCGUCCGAUCGUGUGUGUUGUCCAAGGGCGGUGAUGUCAUGGCAUGCCCGACGUUGUCGACCGUGUGUGCUGUCCAAGGGCGGUGUUGUCAUGUAAUGCCCGACGCCGUACGAUUGUGCGUGCGGUCCAAGGGUGAUGAUGUCAUUGCAUGCCCGUCGUUGUUUAACCGUGUGUGUCGUCCAAGGGCGGUGAUGUCAUUCCACGCUAGAUCUCGUUCGAUCGUGCGUGCAGUCCUAGGGCGGUGAGGUCAUGCCACGCCCGACGUCAUCCGACCGUGUGUGCUGUUUAAGGGCAGUGAUAGCAUGCCACUCCCGACGUCGUCCGACCGUCUAUGCUGCCCAAAGGCGAUGAUGGCAUGACAUGCCCGACGUCGUCCGAUCGUGUGUGCUGUCCUAAAGCAGUGAUGGCAUGCCACGCCCGAUGUCGUUCGACCGUGUUUCCCGUCCAAGGGCGAUGAGGGCAUGCCACGCCGGACGCCGUCCAACUGUGUCAGCUAGUCCAAAGGCGAUGAUGGCAUGCCACGCCCGACGCCAUUCGACCGUAUUUGCCGUCCAAGGGCUAUGAUGGCAUGCCACGCCGAACGUCGUUCGACCGUGUGUGCUGUCCAAGGACCAUGAUGGCAUGCCAUGCCCGACGUCGUUCAACCGUGUUUGCCGUCCAAGGGCUAUGAUGGCCUGCCACACCGACGUUGUUCGACCGUGUGCUACCCAAAGGCGAUGAUGGCAUGCCACGCCCGACGUCGUUCAAUCAUGUGUGCUGUCCAAAGGCAGUGAUGUCAUGCCACGCCUGACAUCGUUCGACCGUGUGUGCUACCCAAAGGCGAUGAUUGCAUGCCACGCCCGACGUCGUUCGACAGUGUGUGCUUUCCAAAGGCGGUAAUGGCAUGUCACACCUGACGUCGUUCGAUCGUGUUUGCCGUCCAUGGGCUAUGAUGGCAUGCCAUGCCCGACGUCUUUCGACCGUUUAUGCUGCCCAAAGGCGAUGAUGGCAUGCCACGCCCCACGUCGUUCGACCAUUUGUGCUGCCCAAAGAUGAUUUUGGCAUGCCAGGCCCAACGUCGUUCGACCGUGUGUGCUGUCCAAUAGCGGUGAUGGCAUGUCACGCCCGACGUCGUUCGACCGUAUGUGCUGUCCAAAGGCAGUGAUGUCAUGCCACACCUGACAUCGUUCAUUCCUGUGUGCUGUCCAAGGGCCAUGAUGGCAUGCCACGCUCGACGUCGUUCGACUGUGUGUGCUGCCCAAAGGUAAUGCUGGCAUGCCACGCCCGACGUUUUUCGACCUUUUAUGCUCCCCAAGGCGAUGACGGCAUGCCAUGCUCGACGUCUUUCGAUCGUGUGUGCUGCCCAAAGGCGAUGCAGGCAUGCCAUGCCAGACGUCAUUUGACUGUUUGUGCUGCCCAAAGGUAAUGAUGGCAUGCCACGCCCGGCAUCGUUCGACCUUUUGUGCUUCCCAAAGGCGAUGAUGGCAUGCCACGCCCGACAUCGUUCGACCGUGUGUGCUUCCCAAAGGUGAUGAUGGCAUGCCACACCCGACGUCGUUCGAUCGUGUAUGCUGUCCAAGGUCCAUGAUGGCAUGCCACGCCCGAUGUCGUUCGACCGUGUGUGUUGUCCAAAGGCGGUGAUGGCAUGUCACGCCUGACGUCAUUCGACCAUUUCUGCUACCCUACUAUGAUGAUUGCAUGCCACGCCCGAUAUCGUUCGACCGUGAGUGUAGUCCAAAGGCGGUGAUGGCAUGUCACGCCCGAGGUCAUUCGACCGUGUGUGCUGUCCAAAGGCGAUGAUGUCAUUCCAAGCCCAACGUCUUUCGACCGUGUGUGCAUCCCAAAGGCGAUGUUGGCAUGCUUGACGUCGUUCGACCGUGUGUUCUUCCCAAAGGUGAUUAUGGGAUACGACGCCCGACGUUGUCGACCGUGUGUGUUGUCCAAGUGCGGUGAUGUCAUGCCACGCCUGACAUCGUCUGACCUUGCGUGCUGUCCAAAUGCGGUGAUAUCAUGCCACGCCCGAUGUCGUUCGACCGUGUGUGUUGUGCAAAGGCGGUGAUAGCAUGUCACACCUGACGUCGUUCGAUUGUGUUUGCCGUCCAUGGGCUAUGAUGGCAUGCCAUGCCCGAUGUCGUUCAACCGUUUAUCCUGCCCAAAGGCGAUGAUGGCAUGCCACGUCCGACAUCGUUCGACCUUUUGUGCUUCCCAAAGGCGACGAUGGCAUGCAACUCCCGACAUCAUUCGACCAUGUGUGCUGCCCAAAGGUGAUGAUGGCAUGCCACUCCCGACGUCGUUCGAUCGUGUGUGCUGUCCAAGGGCCAUGAUGGCAUGCCAUGCCCGAUGUCAUUCGACCGUGUGUGUAGUCCAAGGGCGGUGAUGUCAUGCCAUGCACGACGUUGUUCGACUGUGUGUGUUGUUUAAGGGCGGUGAUGUCAUGCCUUGCCCGAUGUCAUCCCACCGUGCGUGCAGUCCAAGGGCGGUGAUGUCAUGCCACAUCCGACGUUGUCCGACCGUGUGUGAUGUCCAAGGGCGGUGAUGGCAUGCCAUGCCCGAUGUCUUCUGACUGUGUGUGCUGUCCAAGGGCGGUGAUGGCAUGCCACGCCCGACGUCGUUCGACUGUCAAUGCCGUCAAAGGGCGUUUUUUGCAGUCCAUGCCCAUUCUGCGCAGGCGUUGGCAGAUGCCGCUUGGCCGCGGACGUGCUGCAUACGCAGACCCAUUUGCCACUUGACAUCUAACUUGGCUUAAAAAUCGCACCCGACAUCUCAAAAACCUUUUAUAGUGACAUGUCAUUAGGCUUGAUAAAUGAACUCACCAUCACGAAAACCUCACAAUGGGGCUUAGUUAUAGGACAAGUGUUUGACCGUCGUAUGACGUCUAGCUCAACACUUAGUGGUAGACUAGUGAACUUCACGUGCCAUGUUACUUCCGAUACUUAUAUUUCAACACUUAGUUAUUUUUUCCCCUUCCAAGGAUGCAAGCAGCACGCGAACCUCUCAUUUGAAAAGUUAGAAAUGAUUGGAUUUGAUUUUGGGGGAGGGGGAGUGUGGGGGGGGGGACGAAUAGGAGCGGCAAAGGGCUGAAUCUCAGUGGAUCGUGGCAGUAAGGCCACUAUGCCACUUACAAUACCCCGUCGCGUAUUUAUGUCAUCUGCAAAGGAUUCUAUCCGCUGCUCCAUGGAAAUUGUACUUCAAGGCGGUCACCGCGACGCUUAUGUUGCGGCGACUUAGAAAACGACACGUGCCCUUGGGGGCCAUAGGCCCCUAAUGCGGGUCCGCAAGCGGACGGCGGGCGCAUGCGUCGCUUCUAGUCCGCAUUCUGAUUUAGAGGCGUUCAGUCAUAAUCCAGCACACGGUAGCUUCGCGCCACUGGCUUUUCAAAGGUAAAACUAUCCUGUCUCACGACGGUCUAAACCCAGCUCACGUUCCCUAUUGGUGGGUGAACAAUCAAACAUUUGGUGAAUUAUGCUUCACAGUGACCAAAAGAGCCGACAUCGAAGGAUGAAAAAGCAACGUCGCUGUUAACGCUUGGCUGCCACAAGCCAAUUAUCCCUGUGGUAACUUUUCUGAAAGCUCUAGCUUCGAAUUCCAAAGGUCUAAAGGAUCGUUAGGCCACGCUUUCACGAUUCGUAUUCGUACUGGAAAUCAGAAUCAAACGAGCUUUUACCUUUCUCUUACACACGAGAUUUCUUUUCUUGUUGAGCUCAUCUUAGGACACCUGCGUUAUCUUUUAACAGAUAUGCUGCCCUAGCAAAACUCCCCACCUGACAAUGUCUCUUCCCGGAUCGGCCCGCAAAGCGAGGCUUGGGUCCAAAAAGAGGGGUUGUGCCACGCUUCUGAUUCACGGAAUAAGUAAAAUAACAUUAAAAGUAGUGGUAUUUCACUUACGCCUUUCGGCUCCCACUUAUACUACACCUCUCAAGUCAUUUGACAAAGUCGGACUAGAGUCAAGCUCAAAAGGGUCUUCUUUCCCCGCUGAUUCUGCUAAGCCCAUUCUAUUGGUUGUGGUUUCGCUGGAUAGUAGACAGGCACAGAGGGAAUCUCGUUAAUCCAUUCAUGCGCGUCAAUAAUAAGAUGACGAGGCAUUUGGCUACUUUAAGAGAGUCAUAGUUACUCCUGCCGUUUAGCCGCACUUUGUUGAAUUUCUUCACUUUGACAUUCAGAGCACUGGGCAGAAAUCACAUUGCAUAAACAUUCGUUGGGACCAUCGCAAUGCUUUGUUUUAAUUAAAGAGUGCGAUUCCCCUUGUCCGUACCAGUUCUGAGUUGGCUGUUCGAUGCCCGGGGAAGGCCCCCGAAGGAACCGUUCCUUGUACGUCCCCAAUCCCGCACGCGGUGACGCGCUCUCGCCGUGGGAGCAGCUCGGGACUGGGAUCCACGUGCCCAUCCCUCAGAGCAAAUCCUUUUCCCGAAGUUACGGAUCCACUUUGCAGACUUCCCUUUCCUACAUUGUUCCAUCGACCAGAGGUUGUUCACCUUGGAGACCUAAUGCGGUUAGGAGUACGACCAGGCGUGGACGACAUUCGGUCCUCCAGAUUUUCAAGGGCCACCCUGAGCACACUGUAUACCACGCGACGUGCGGUGCUCUUCCAGCAGCUGGACCCUACAUUUGGCUGAGCCGAUUCCAUGGUGGGCAGGCUGUUAAACAUAAAAUAUAACUCUUCCCGAGGCUCCCGUCGACGUCUCUGGACAGCCCUGUGGCCGUAUAUGGCCUUACGUGCGCCGUGCGUGCGACGCCUAGAGUUAGCUGUAACAGGAGAUCUAGAACUCGCCACUCGCCCGAAAGCACUGUCGUUUCCACACCAAACGCUAGUAUAAACCGAUCUUGAGAAGUUCCCUCGGCGGAGCACGGUCUCCCCGCAGACAUCGGUAGCGUGUUUUUGUAAGCGCCCAACGGCGAAGCACGGACGAGCAAUCCAUGUUGUCAAGCGCCAACACAACACGCCUACUAAGCCCUCAGCACACCCUUGACGUCCGCCUACUUUCGCCUCAGUUGCCCCGCAGACGUCGCUGGCAUGUUUUUGUUGACACCCAACGGCAUAGCACGGACAAGCCAAGCAUGUCGUCAAGCGCCCAUGUAGCACGCCUACUAAGCCCAAAGGACGCCCAUGAUGUCCGCCUGCCACCGCCUCAAUCGCCCUGCAGACGUCGCGGACAUGUUUUUGUAAAUGGCCAACAGCGUAGCAUGGACAAGCCAUGCAUGCCUUCAAGCGCCCACGCAGCACGCCUACUAAGCCCAAAGGAUGCCCAUGACGUUUGCCUACCACCGCCUAAAACGCCCUGCAGACGUCACGGGCAUGUAUUUUGUAAACGCCCAACAGCGUAGCACCGACGAGCCAUGCAUGCCGUCAAGUGCCCACACAGCAUGCCUACUAAGCCCACAGGACGCCCUUGACGUUCGCCUGCCUUCGCCUCAGCCGCCCCGCAAACGUCACUAGCAUGUUUUUGUAGACGCCCAACGGCGUAGCAUAAAUGAGACAUGCAUGCCAUAAAGCCCCAAACAACACGCCUACUAAGCCCACAGGACGCCCAUGACGUCCGCCUGCCACCGCCUCAAUCGCCCUGCAGACGUCGCCGAUGUGUUUUUGUAAACGCCCAACGGCGUAGCAUGGACAAGCCAUGCAUGCCAUCAAGCGACCACGCAGCACGCCUACUAAGCCCAAGGGACGCCUAUGCCGUCUGCCUUCCUACGCCUCAGUCUGCAUCUAACACCUCUACCCCUUUUAUAUAUGCUUAAAAAAGUUUUACCCAUAUAACAGGAGUAGACAUUGAUUUUCCAGAGAAUCAUAAUAGAAAUGUACAACCCAAAUAUGCACGUUCUAAGGUACAAACACACAUAUGCUUUCACAAAUGACUUUAAUAUAUAUAUAUAAAAUAUUUUUUAACAUUUUUUUAUUUUUUUCAAAAUUUCCGAAAAAUUAGUUAUAAAUUAAUAAAAAAUAGGGAAAAUAUCGAAUAAAAUAUGUAAUGAACUCCGAAAAUUCACAAAUAAAUAUGGGAACCUUAAAAUAAAAAAUUUAAUAAGUUUUUAUUUUUAAAAGGAGACGUAAAAAAUUUAAAAGCGUAAAAAUAAAUUAUAAAAUAAUGCUUAAAAGUUGGAAAAAUACGGAAAUGCUCGAAAACACUUCUAAUCAUGUCAAAUUAAUGAUAAGAUACAUAUUUGCACAAAUAAAAGAUGUUUCAAUAUCGUACGAACCGUAGAAGUAAUGAAAAUGAUGCGAAAGAGCCACGUUAGGUGGAACCGUUAGAGAAUAGAUAAAAAAAUUGAUGAAUAUGUUUGUUAUGCAUGGGGGUUGUUUCAAAAUCCUUUGAUUCAUGUACGUCAUGAACAUACGCAUGUUUCGUCUAGUUAUCGAACAAUGUUGCGCAAGCCACGAUCUAUGCGGGACGGCCACGGUCAACCGUUCUGUGUAGGCACGUCCGACGACGACCGACCGUUUGUGCUGUCCAAGGGCUAUGACGGCAUGCCACGCCCGACGUAGGACGACUGUCUGUGCUGUCCAAGGGCGAUUAUGGCAUGCCACGCCCGACGCCUUCUGACCGUCUGUGCUGCCCAAGGGCGAAGAUGGCAUGCCACGCCCGACGUCGUCCGACCGUGUCAGCUAGUCCAAAGGCGACGAUGGCAUACGAUGCCUGAUGUUGUCCGACUGUGUCUGCUAGUCCAAAGGCGAUGAUGGCAUGCCACGCCCGACGUCGUCCGACCGUGUCUAUUUUCCAAGGGCUAUGAUGGAAUGCCACGCUUGACGACGGCCGACCCGCCGCGCCCUCCUACUCAUCGGGGCCUAGCACUUGCCCCGACGGCCGAGUGUAGGUCGCGCGCUUAAACGCCAUCCAUUUUCGGGGCUAGUUGAUUCGGCAGGUGAGUUGUUACACACUCCAUAGCGGAUUUCGACUUCCAUGACCACUGUCCUGCUGUCUUAAUCAACCAACACCCUUUGUGGGAUCUAGGUUAGCGCGCAGUUUGGCACCGUAACUCAGCUUCUGGUUCAUCCCGCGUCGCCAGUUCUGCAUACCAAAAAUAGCCCACUUGGAGCUCUUGAUUCCGUGGCGCGGCUCAACAAAGCAGCCACACCGUCCUACCUAUUUAAAGUUUGAGAAUAGGUCGAGGGCGUUGCUCCCCCAAGGACUCUAAUCAUUGGCUUUACCCGAUAGAACUUACACACGAGCUCCAGCUAUCCUCAGGGAAACUUCGGAUGGAACCAGCUACUAGACGGUUCGAUCAGUCUUUCGCCCCUAUUCCCAACUCAGAUGAUCGAUUUGCACGUCAGUAUCGCUGCGGGCCUCCACCAGAGUUUCCUCUGGCUUCGCCCCGCUCAGGCAUAGUUCACCAUCUUUUGGGUCCCGACAAGUAUGCUCACACUCAAAAACUUCUCAGAAGAUUAAGGUCGGUCAACGGUGCACCCCUCAGGGGAUCCAACCAAUUAGCUUCCUUACGCCUUACGGGUUUACUCGCUCGUUGACUAGUACACAUGUCAGACUCCUUGGUCCGUCUUUCAAGACGGGUUGAAUGGGAAGCCCACAAGCAAGAGUCCAGAGCGCGCAGAUGCCGAGCACACCGGAGGCGCGCGCUGCCUUCCCUAAUCGGGGAGACGGCGUUCCGCGGGCGUAUCGAGAGCCCAGGCUUUGGCCUCCCCCAUAAUCCACGCUGGUCCAUGCCUUGAGUCGAUCGGCGGACUGGCUCGUCACCAUUCAACAUCCGACCGUGGCGCAUCGCCGGCCCCCAUCCGCUUCCCUUCCAACAAUUUCAAGCACUGUUCGACUCUCUUUUCAAUGUCCUUUUCAUCUUUCCCUCGCGGUAUUUUUUCGCUAUCGGUCUCUCGCCAGUAUUUAUCCUUGGACGAAAUUCACUGCCCGAUUUGGGCUGCAUUCCAAAACAACCCUACUCGUAGACAAAGCCUCGUAAUGCGACAGGGUCCGGGCUCGACGGGGAUCUCACCUUCUUUAGGACCUCUUCUAGGGGACUGGGCCCGGUCUGCCUUUGAGGAUGCUUCUCCAGACUACCAUUCGGACGACGGAGCCGCCCAAUUCUAAGGCUGGGAUGUUCCCAAUUUGCUCUUCGUUACUAGGGGAAUCGGUGUAAGUUUCUUUUCCUUCGCUUAUUGAUAUGCCUAAACUCAGCGGGUAAUCCCUCCUGACAUGGGGCCGCGGUCGGAGCGCCUGGAGAGGCGCAGUGAGGGUCGGGGAGUCCGGACGCACAACGGGCUGUAGCUGCGACAACAAGAGAGUGUUGAGUUUCAACCACCACUUGCCGCGACAUUCGUCGACGUGGACUCACAUUUAGGCCGGCCACUCCUUCUGGGCGCACAGGAGGCCAGCUUCCGCCCCCUCACUCAUCUUUGCAACGUGCGCGGGGGGGAGGGGAGGGGGGUGAUGCGAUGCGUGACUCCUAGGCAGACGUGCCCUCGGCCAAAUGGCUUCGGGCGCAACUUGCGUUCAAAGACUCGAUGGUUCACGGGAUUCUGCAAUUCACACCAAGUAUCACAUUUCGCUACGUUCUUCAUCGAUGUGAGAGCUGAGAAAUCUGUUGUGGAGAGUCAUUCCCCCCCCAUGAUCCGCGAAUGGGGCGCGAGGGGAGGGCUGUCGAUUGUAGUAUUCCUAGACGCUUUCUGCGCUGGGGUUCGUUGGUCGCCCGAAGAUCCUGCGCGCAUCAGGCGACAGGAGGGAGGCGCGCGACGAGCGAGCGCCGCCCCCAGGUGUUUUAAACGAGUUUGCAAGUUAUUCUGCUGUGAAGGUUUCGGCAAUGAUCCUUCCACAGGUUCACCUACGGAAACCUUGUUACGACUUCUCCUUCCUCUAAAUAAUAAGGUCCAAUGGACUUCUCGUGACGUUGUGGGCAGCGAACCGCCCACGUCGCCGCGAUCCGAACAUUUCACCAGAUCAUUCAAAUGGUAGGAGCGACGGGCGGUGUGUAUAAAGGGCAAGGACGUUGUCAACGCAAGCUUGUGACUCACGCUUACUAGAAAUUCCUCGUUGAAGACCAACAAUUGCAAUGAUUUAUCCCCAUCACGAUGAAAUUUCAAAGAUUACCCGGUCCUGUCAGCCGAGGCUAUAAGCUCAUUGAAUACAUCAGUGUAGCGCGCGUGCGGCUCAUAAAAUCUAAGGGCAUCGCAGACCUGUUAUUGCCUCAAACUUGCACGGCCUAAAAGGCCGUAGUCCCUCUAAGAAGCUGGCCGCGAAGGGAUACCUCCGCAUAGCUAGUUAGUAGGCUGAGGUCUCGUUCGUUAAAAGAAUUAACCAGACAAAUCGCUCCACCAACUAAGAACGACCAUGCACCACUACCGUAGAAUCAAGAAAGAGCUCUUAGUCUGUCAAUCCUUACUAUGUCUAGACCUGGUAAGUUUCCCCGUGUUGAGUCAAAUUAAGCAGUAGGCUCCACUCUUGGUGGUGCCCUUCCGUCAAUUCCUUUAAGUUUCGGCCUUACGACCAUACUCCCCCCGGAACCCAAAAACUUUGAUUUCUCAUAAG